rnacentral:rRNA from 1 species
GAGUUUGAUCCUGGCUCAGAGCGAACGCUGGCGGCAGGCCUAACACAUGCAAGUCGAACGGCUCUUCGGAGCAGUGGCGGACGGGUGAGUAACGCGUGGGAACGUGCCCUUUGGUUCGGAACAACACAGGGAAACUUGUGCUAAUACCGGAUGAGCCCUUUUGGGGAAAGAUUUAUCGCCAUUGGAGCGGCCCGCGUUGGAUUAGGUAGUUGGUGGGGUAACGGCCUACCAAGCCUACGAUCCAUAGCUGGUCUGAGAGGAUGAUCAGCCACACUGGGACUGAGACACGGCCCAGACUCCUACGGGAGGCAGCAGUGGGGAAUCUUGCGCAAUGGGCGAAAGCCUGACGCAGCCAUGCCGCGUGUAUGAUGAAGGUCUUAGGAUUGUAAAAUACUUUCACCGGGGAAGAUAAUGACGGUACCCGGAGAAGAAGCCCCGGCUAACUUCGUGCCAGCAGCCGCGGUA